rnacentral:lncRNA from 1 species
UUGAAAGUUUUGAGGAGCCCAAGGAUCUAUCUAGAUUGUAUCUAUCACCUAGAGGGGGGUGAAUAGGUGUAACAACCAAAAACCACAAAUCUCGAUGCAAUAAAAAUAAAUGCGGAAAAUAAAAAGCACACCGAGAUUUACGUGGGAAAACUCCAACUUGGAGAAAAACCCACGGGACCAACACGCGAAAAAAAUAAUUCACUAAGAGAAAAGAUUACAAGGUGAUUACCGACUCCACGGACUUAACCUCUCUUAACCUCCUAUGAAUCUUCGCGCUACCCUCCGGGUUGUCCACGCCCUCACGUCCGAAUCCACGAACGCCUCCACUUCGAAUCCACGAAGCUUCAAUCACGCCGAAUCCACGACGCCACUCGAAUCCACGAGCCCACGAUCCGAAUCCACGAACCGCCGUCAAAUACGCCGAAUCCACGACGCCGUCAUGAAGAGCAUCAUGAUUAUGGUGAUCCUUUGCUUAGGAGUAUCGUAGAAAACCAGGAAAAGAAACUCCAAGCAAAGCGGAGAUCAAAUCGGCAUAUAGAUAUCAAAUUACAAUAUUCCGAUUUGACCUAAAAGAGGCUAAUAUGUAGAAAAUAGGUUUUAGAUGAAAUCCGAGCCUCUAGGGUUUCUCAAAUAUGUAUUUUCGUGAUGCUUACUUUGUUAGAGAACCCCAAUAGCUUAUUUAUAGACUUUAGAAUCAAUCGGAGUCGAAUUAGAAAGUUUUCACGGUUUUACACUGUGUACCGGUACACGAAAGGCUGUCACCGGUUACACAAGGACGGAACAGAAAUACGAAGCCAAGUCAGUGGCUGUACCGGUACGCUCUUGAUUGCUGUACCGGUACACAAUGCAAUUUUUGGGAUUUUGCAUUGUUUCGAGUUCCGUACACUUCCGAAGCACUUUCUAAUCAACUAUACUUUUGAUUAAAUGAUUCUAAUGCCUAUAACUAAGUAUGAAUCACCAUAACAUGAAUUAAAACUUUACCUGAGCAUCGUGAUUCAUAUCGUGAGUUAUUUUCCAACUUCUUCGAAAUCUUGAAUUCUUCGAUCUUCGACGAUAUGUACCGGCAAUACAAAAUCCUUAACAAACUUGUCUUCCCUAUUUAAUACAAGUUUUUCUAGAUUUUGCUUGAUGAAACCCUAGAUUUUGAGAUUUAGGGUUUAUUUUGGGGAUUUUCGAUUUGAGGGCUUUGAAACCUAAUUGAUGGGUUUAGAACCUUUAUUUAGGUUGGAUUUGAAGAACUCUAACUCCCAUUUGGAGCUUGAGAGAGGAUUUCUUCACUUGAGAUGAGUCUCUCCACCUUAGCUUGAGGUGGUUAAUGAUUGAGCUUAGUGUUGUUCGUAAGGUUCGUUUGACUCUCUUUUCUAUACCUUUAGGGUACUAGUAGAGUGGUGGACACCUUCGUCGGAGCUUACGAAGGGUUUCGGUAACUUUGAUGGGUUUGACUUCAUGAAAUCAGGGCGAAAUGGCCCCUAAGUAUUCUAUACUUGUCGUAACGUCAUUUUGAUUGCAUAUUCAUGUUAAAUGAGAUUUAUGUGAAUUUUAGAACACUUAAAAUGCAUGCCUUAUAUAUCAUAAAAAUUUCACUCUAUAUAGUAGGGCAUUCUGGGCAUUUUGCAUGCAUAUGGGAAAUGUUCGUGUUAGCGACUUGGAAACAUGUCUCUUAUGUUAGAAUUUGCUUGAAUUAUGCAUUGUAAACAAUAAACUCAUGUUUGGACUUAGUGGAAAAAAAUGUCAUAAAGAGGCACUUGACAUAGUAAACUAUGAAACUGCAACAUAGAGACAUAGUGAUAGGCCAUUGAACAUCAACUAUAGUCCAUGUUAGAGACAUGAUGACAUAGAGAUAGGCCUUUGAGACAUUCGAAGUGUAUUCCAUGUUUUUAGACAUGAGGACUUGGUACUUGAGACAGAUCUUUCGCUUGCUUGCCAUUGUGCUCAUUCGCACAUGCUUGUGAGGGUCGCUCCUUACAAGCCGGCACUCCAGAGAUAGCCAUCGCGACAUAUGCUCGCUCGUGCGGGAUUGGGCGCCGAAAUGGGAUGCCGUGGGGGAGGCUCAUUCCUAGAGUGGGGAUGUUGACUACCACAGAGCCAUUAGGCACGGCGCAGGCCGGACUACCCACGGGUAGGUCCUACAGGAUUGGAUCAUUGAUGACUUAGUAUACCGACUGGACAUUGACUAAAAUAGUAAACAAGACAUUUUACUAUUUAGCUUGUGGACAUCAUGCUAGUGAUACUUUGGUACAUUCAUGUUAGAAUAGUCCUUUUAUUACUUAUGCAAAUUCAUGCUAAGUAGAGACAUCAUAUUGUAGUAAGUUUACAUGUUUAAUUACAUAUCGAUUCUAUUGCUUUUAUUGUUACUUACCUGUUUAGCUCUUUUGGGCCUAGUGAUGCUUUCACUGAAGUCAGUAAUUGCCCACUGGGAACUAUUAUUUAAUAGUUCUCACGCCCCCUGUUUUAUGAUUUUUCUUUCAGAGCCCUCUGCACCGGCGGAGGCACGGGAUCGCAGCAAGAGGAUCGCUAGCUAGAUAGCGAGGAUUUAUUGUUACUUAGGUGGUUUUCUCUCUUUUUGUUGUUGUUGAGAGAGAGUGAGGUUUUGUAUCCAUGUAUAGAGACCACCUAUGUAUUUACUUAUAGCACUUGUUUUGGGAUUUCUAUUGUACUACCUUUGAUUUACUUAUGGUGGAUGUUAGCUCCUUUACUUGUUUCCUCUUAUAGAAUCUAGAUAUUGUACUAUGCUCUGAUACUCCUAAAUGUCUUUUAUUAUUGCUUUAUUUACCGUUGUUUUAUAAACGCCUUAUAUGUUUUAGACGUAUGGCGAGUCUAGACACGUGCCGGGUGGGCUUCUGCUGGGUCCCGGGGCGUGACAACUAGUCUCUUAGCACCCUAAAGAUGUAGGAACAAGAGUUAAACGAACCUUACGAAUAACCAUAAGGUUGAUCAUUAACCAUCUCAAGCUAAGGUGGAGAAAAACUCACCGAAUGCGAAGGAAGCUCUCUCGAUCUCCAAAUGGGAGUUGGUGUCCUUCCAAAACAACCUAAACAAAGGUUCUAAACCCAUCAAUUGGGUCCCAAAGUUCUCAAAUCGAAAAUCCCCAAAAUAAACUCUAAAAUCUAAAUCUAGGAUUUCAUUUGGUAAAAACUACCAAAACAAGCUCCAAAGAGUAGAUUAAGCAUACUAACCUUCUUGGUAGCUCCAAACCAAGCUCAAAAUACUCUAUGGUUGAAGAUUGCUCCUCAAUCAAGCUCCUAGCCCAAGCUCCAAGCCUCCAAUGGUGAAGAAAGAGAGAAAGGGUUGAUGCUCCAAGCUUUUUCAAGCAAGCUCUUCCUAUCCUCCUUCUUCCUCCUUUUCUUCUUCUUCUCUUUCUAGAGGUAUGAGAGAGUGAGAAGUGAGGGAAAGAGAGAGGGGAAAUUAUAACAAACCAGAUUUUGGUAUAAAAGUAAAAAUAAAUAAAAAUAGUGUGAGAUACUAUUUUCAUUGGAUUUAGAGAAGUAAAACAUAAGUCAGAAAUGACUUGUGCUGAAAUCGGAAUGAAAACAGAAGAUUUAGAAUUUUCUGUUAAAAAGGGACAGAUAAAUUAGCAUAAAAUACAAAGUCUCAGAAAAUUAUGUAAACUGGAGGAUAAGCCAGAAUUAUUUUUAUGAGGCUAGAUUUAAAGUUUCAUGUCAUUCUGACACUCGGAAGGUGGAAAAUAAAAUCCGACAGCUAUCUGAUAAAAAUUACAGUUUGGUACAGCUUUCGGUGACCAAACGGGGUCAAAACUGAAAUAUUAAAACUUUUUUGGACUCGUUAAGUAAAACUGAACAUGACUAUCAAAUUUGAGCUCAAACGGAUGUUCCAGGAGUUCCGGCGAAAGAUAUCAGAUUUCGAACUACCCGAAAGUGAAUAGUGUUUUGGGGUGUAAUGUACAAAGAAGCUUUUUGCUUCUUCUUCCUCAGCCGACCACACCACCCCACAACACACGCACGCAUAGGAAGGGAGAGAGAAACUCUCCUUUCUCUCUCUAAAGAUCUCUCUCAUCUCUCCAAAUCUCUCUCUAAAAAUUUGAGGGUUGGUGGAGAGCGAGCUUGCGAACGCGUUGGAGACGUCGGUUCGAGCUCUCGUGCGGCCAUUUGAGCGGCGUGUUUUCGUCGUGGCAUUCACAUAGUGGUAAGCUUUUGGGAUUUGGCUUAAUCCUUAGCUUUAAGUGUUCUAAUAGCCUCUAAUGAGCAUUGUUAGCAUGUUUCUUCAUUUAAUUUGGAUUAUUUGGAGGUUAAUUACAUAUUAGGGCUCCGAAUGGAGUUUUGUAAAAUAGUAGGGUUUGAUCUCAUUUGGCCCUCCGUAAACCAAAUUGCUAGGUAAACGAACGCAUUGGCGAAGUCGGUUCGGCGAUUUGUCGAGCCGUUUUAAAGAUAUUAAAGAAACGGACGUUUAGGCUUCGUUUCCACCUGGAGGGCCGAGGCGACAUCGUAAAAUCAUGAAAACGAAUUUGGAGCACCGUGGCACAUAAUCGAAGACCUAUAAUUUUCGGAGUCGCGGUUCGACUCACGGUUGGUGAGUAUUAGCAAAAUCGGGCCGAACCGGACACGGGUGCCGCAGGAGGCCGAUUGUAAGUGUCGACAAGCAAUCGAAAAGCGAUUUGAGGUGGGUUGUGUUUACCGAAGCGACUAGGUCGCCUGUAUAUCUAAGGCGAGUGUUUAUCAUUGAUGCAUAUUGUGGUAGCUAGUGGUAGAAUGUAUAAAUGCAUGAAAUGAAUGCUAUGUUAGGCUACCAAAUAAUGCAUAUGGUCAUAAUGUGAGAAUGCUAAGUAAUGCAUAAUAACAUAGUAUAAAUAAUGCUAAGUGGAAAGCAUAAAGUAAAUGACAUAUGUUAGUCAUGUUCCAUGUAUAGAAAUGCUAAUGUAAAAAUGCUAAGUGGAUGCAUGUAGUAAAUGCUAAAGAAAAUGCAUGCUAAUGAUGUAAUAUAGAAAUGCUAGAAUGCAUGAUGAUGUAAUAUAAAUAAUGCUAGUUAAAAGCAUGAGAUAAAUGACAUUUGCAUGUUAACAUAAAGUAGAGAACAUGCUAGUUGUAAUGCAUAAUGAUAAGUUGUAAAGAAUGCUAGUUUGAAUAAGCAUGUUAUAUAAAUGCUAGAUAAUGCAUGUUAAUUAUCUAAAGUAAGAUACUAAGAGAUUGCACAUGAAGUGACAUAAUGUUAAUGUUAGAUGAUGCAAGCUAACAUAUAGAGGUUUAUGUUAGUGGAAAUGUGCAUAUGGACAAUCUAUAUACAUUAGAUCGAGUGGCAUUAAACCUAGUGUCUUGAACAUAGGUUGAAUUUGAAUGAUAUGAACUUAGUGUUAGUAAACCUAGGUCGGACAUGAAGGACAUAUGAACCUAGUGUGAAUAUACAUAGGUUGGACAUCAAGUGGCAUUGAACCUAGUGUUAAAGAACAUAGGUUGGAAUCAUGUGUGGCAUUUAAUCUAGCGUUAAAGAACAUAGGUUGGACAUGAACCUACUGUUAAAGAAAGUAGUUAAACAAGGUUUAACCCAAAGUGACAUUGUGGCUUGGUAUUAGCGGUAUAUGCAUGAUUAGGUAAAAACCUAUCAUUGGCAUUGAGGCAUAGAGAUAUGGAACAGGUUGGCUAUACCUCCUCAAAUUGAAGAUGGGAUCGUACUCACAUGUAUUGGUUCCGGCUUGUGCGAGGUCGCUCCUCUACAGGUGGUGUACUCAGGAUUAUAGACACCACAGGUGAGAGUGCCCGGUGAAGAUCUCUCGGGUGACCGUGCCUUGUGCCUUCCCCGGUAGACGGGAUGGAUCCCUUGGGGGCAUUUCCUAAUGCUAAUCCCGGUAGAUGGGACAUGUGAGAUUUGAGCUUGGGGCGAACUUGAUGAACCCCGGAAAGAUUAGGUGAAGGCCAAAGUGAAUGUCUGAAAGUAUACAUUAUGAGCUAUGGAUUUGGUAUUCCAGUUGAGUGGAUUUAUGGCUGAGGUGCAUGUGGGACGUUCUUCACCUCAAGCAUGGAUGCAUGCGGUAUUCUGCAAAUGAUUGACUCGAGACCGAGUCGGGUGGUUAGCUUGGCUAGGGUAGAGGAAACCUUAGGAGCAAAUAACCAAUGAUGUAAAGUGACAAGAUGUAUAAAUUAUGGAAAAGUUAUGGAUAGCAUGAUAGAAAGUAAAAUCAUUUAUUUUACUUGUAUAGUUGCAUGGUUUCAUAUUGCAUAUCGCGAGGCAUGACAUAUAGUUCAAUAUCGAAUAAAUGUUUAAGUAUCUGUUAUAUGUUAUUGGACUAACCUGUUGCAGUGCCUCAUUAGACCUAUUGGUUGAGCUUUCCCUUGGGUGGCCGUACCCACUGGGAGCCAUAGAGUUGGUUCUCACCCCACGUUGUUUUGGGGUGUUACAGGUUCACACGUGAGCGGCACGGCGGCGCGAGGCAAGGGCAUAGCUUCAUAGAUAGCGCCCUACUACCGAGACCAGAGAUAGCGGUACCCUGAGUCGGCUACUUAGGGAUGUAAGAAAAUGAAAGAUAUAAGAUUGCAAUAAUUUGAAAUAAAAGCAUGAUUGUAUUUGGAAGUUAAAUAUAAUAUGUAAUUGUGAUGUAAAAUAUAUCUAGUGAAUGUGAAUGCUUGUAAUAACAAGUAGAUUAUGUUUUUGAUACUUCCUUAUGCAAUCUUUGAUUGAAAUGUGUUCCUGGUUGAAACUUCGUACAUUGUAUUGAUUGCGACGCUUUGGACAUACAGGGAAGACUCUGUCCGCGGUAUAGGGGAAACCCUGUCCGUUCGGCGGUCUGUUGGCGUGCUCGAAACCGACCAAAUAGGCGGGCUCGGGGCGUGACAGAAAUGGCUCUAAAUGCCCUCUAAAGCAACAAAAUCCACUUAGGCCCCCCAAGAAUCAAAAUAGUGCGCUGCCCAAGUCUGAGCAGUUUUCGGGUUGGGGACCGGUCGGUCUCUCCCUCUCAGGGACCGAGAGACCGGUCCCUCAGGGCCCUCCAGAAAAUCCCGCGUACGGGAACCGGUCCCUCGAUCUGGGGACCGGUUGCAUUACGCAACCACCAAAUCCGAGCUACAGGGACCGGUCUCUCCCACCAGGGACCGGUCCCCGAGAGCUAAACUCUCAGGAAUAAGUCCAAAACUCCAGUAUUCGAACUUUUUAGGUCAGAAUUCAGUCUACGACCUUCCACCAAGUGUGGAAAAGCUCGGAAUCCAAGUCAAACACUCGAACCUCGCAACUUGCACAGGUCUAGUUUGUUACAGGUGUGCACGGCGGGUCUGUGCACAUGCCCGGCGGGCUUUCGCUGCAGCCCACGGCGUGACAAGCUAGAUGUGCCCAGAGUUAUCCGUUGAUGAUGUCCAUUACAGUCCGUUGGAUUGGUUUAGUUCUAACCCUACCCUCUUCCAAUAAACAACUAACUUAGACUCUUAUGGUUUAGUUUACUUUACUUUACUUUACUUUACUUUAUUUGGAUAUAUCGGCCUUGAGAUAUCGAAUAUAGUAUUUAUGAUUUUUAUGUGGAUUUAUGGAAAUGGUUUUCUACCCUUCGUGAUUGCGCUUUAUGGAAAAGGUUUCUGUAUGUAAAACGGUUUCAAAAAGGAUUUUUCGUUUUUCAUGAUUCUAGUAUUUCAAAAUGAAUUUUCGGGUGAAAAAUAUUUUAAAUUAAUAGAUGUGGAUUUAUGAAUGAAACAUUAUAAUCUUGUGAUGUGGUAAAUGUAUAUAGUUUUUAUAUGUUUGUGGUUGUACUUGUACUCGUGCGACACCAUGCAAAUAUAUGGGAGAUUCUGUCCGUGUGAACAGUGGAUUUUCUAUAUUUGUGGCGGGUCUGUCAUCCCUUGGAUCAAGGUUUUUUUUUAAAAAAAAUUUAUUGGGCAUUUUUUCGCUGAUUUUACAGACUAAAACGGACCCUGGGGCGUGACAUCAUAUAUCUUCUUAAUUUUCUACUGGUAGUUGCUCCCCGCUUCAAGUCGUUUCGAAAUUUCCAUUGUGACCUAUAAACAAACACCUCAUCUGCAUCACCAAACUGGGAUAUCUAAACUGACACAUCUUUGCCAUCACAUCAACCACAAAAAUCCUAAUUCUCAAACAAUUUGGAUUUACCAAAAAGUUCCUACGACCCUCGAGAAGCAAGCUCCCGCACAACGUCCCCUUGAAGAGGAGGCUCAAGAUGUUGCUCGCCUCGGCCCAAUUGUGGGCGCGCGCGAGCCGCGCAAGGAGGCAGCCGAGGCGGUGGCGGUUCACGGCGAGUAAGGGCUCCGACGCAAAUCGGCCCAGCGAGCACUUAUAUGGGCCGCGACUGAACUUUACAGGACGAUACUUCUUGAAGGAGACAACGUUUUUCGCAUGCUCUUUUUCUUUAUCAUCCUCAUAAUCUUUGUUAACACAAUNCUCAUCUACAUCACCAAACUGCGAUAUCUAAACCGACACAGUCUUGCCAUCACAUCAACCACAGAAAUUCUAAUACUUAAACAAUUUGAUUUACCAAAAAGUUCCUGCGAUUCUUGAGAAGCGAGCUCCCGCGCAACGUCCCCGCGAAGAGGAGGCUAGGACGCCGCUCCCCUCGACCUAGUUGUGGGCGCGCGCGAGCCGCACGAGGAGGUAGCAGAGGCGGCGGCGGUUCACAGCGAGCGGGGGCCCCGGCGCAGACCGGCCCAGCGAGCACUUAUAUGGGUCGUGGCUUGGCUUCGCGGGACAAUGCUUUUCGAAGGAGGCAACGUUCUUCGCAUGCUCCUCUUCUUCUUCUUCUUCUUCUUCUUCUUCAUCGUCCUCAUCAUUUUCGUUAACACAAUGAGAGAGAGUGGGAGCUGAGUGUGGGGUGGGAGAUUAGAUGAUGAUGUUCUUUUAUACAUAGAAAAUAACAGGCCAUGCAAAAGAAAAGGAGCAUGGGAAUUAAUGGAGGUGGGGAGUGGAUUAGAGUUACAACGCCCACUUAUUGGUGGAAUAUGGUGCAUGUAAUUAAAAGACUGGGGAGGUGAAAGGUUGGGCAUUGAGAAGAGGUUUGAGAGAGAAAAAAGGACCAAUAUUGAAGAGAAAAAAUAACGAACGUAUACAUUGAUUACAGGUCAUUGAGUAGAGAGGAUAGGAGGAAAAAGUCAAGAGCUAAUGUCAGUUUAAAAAAAGGGUUGAAAGAAAACUUGCUACGUGGCAAAAACAGUAGAAAUUCAUAUUCGUUAAUAGAUAACUGUAUUUGCAAAUUUAUUUGUUUAUAUAUAUGUUUGUGGGAUUGCCUCUAAUGUAGAAAUAAUUAACUUAUUAUUUGUGUAAAGGGUGAUUAUAAUUAAGUAUGCUUGUCUAUUACUAUACAUAUUCUUUUUAAUUGGUGCAUGUAGAAUUGAUGUGGUCAAUUUGAACAUAGAUCCAAAUGCAUGAUCUUUCUUUUGUAAUUCCAACCACAACAAUUAGAUUUAAAUGUACCAAAUCAAACAUCGCAUUUAAAUUUGCAUGUAGUUAAAAUUGUAGAACAUUACACAUGCGCAAACAAAUAAACUCUACCUUGGGUUAGUUUGAUGAUAUCUAUUUAUAGGAUAAUAUAAAAUAAAAUAAAUAUCUAAUUAUUUUAAUAAUAUCUAAUAAUUUUUUUAAAUUGUAUUUACAAAUUGUGUAAGUGAUAUAAACAUUAUCAUUAAGUGAGGAAGAAAUGUAAUUAUUAAUUUCAUACUCAAACAACAUUUUUUUAUGGCCAAUUUGCAAAAAUAAUCCACUAGUUUUGCAAUAUUACAAAAGUUGACCACUAUUUUGAAUUUUACAAAUUCGGGUUGGAUUUUCGACAAACUAAUCAAAAUACCCUUGUCGCUUUCUCUCUCUUCUUUUUUUUCUUCAUUCAUUUUUUUUCUCAUUGCCUCCUCCAUCGUCUCCACGGCCCUUGGCGACGGUAACGAGGGGGACGCCACCUUCUCUUUCUUUAUCUCCUUCUCUGUCGGUGCUAGCAGCCCUCGGUGACGGUUACGAGGGCGGCGCCGCCUCUGCUUCCAUUGACACCAGAGAAGGAGAAGUAGAAGGAGAACUCGAUGUGGGCCUAGAUGAGGGCGGAGUGGACGGAGGCUAUGAGGUCGUUGCUGAGAAAGUGCUCACCUCCCAUGACGGUGAGGAAAAGACACACCCAUCUCCAAAAAGUGAACAAAGAUGUAAAGGGUAGAAGAAAAUAAGAAUAAAAAGUAAAAAAAACAAAGAAAAAAUUUUUUCUCUUUGAAAGACGACUAUAUAUCGUUGCUGCUACCGAAAAGUCUAAAAAUCAGAGAAAAAUGAAGAAGAAGAUAUUGCAUUGUCAAAAUAAAAUUGCACUGUCUUAAAAGAAAAUUACACUGUUUAAUACGAAUGUUAUACUAUUCGAGGUGAAAAUUACACUCUUUGAAAUAGAAGUUGCACUCUUUCAACAAAAAUUAUACUAUUUCAAAAAAAAUUGCACUAUUCUCGAACCCUCGUCGUCUUUUUUUCUUCUUUUUCUUCCUCUUCUCUUCACCCCCUUCUUUCCUUCCCUUCCUGCUCUCUUUCUUACCAAGGCGAACCUCUUUACCUCGCGGGCCGCAGAGUGCCGAAGCAUAAAAACGACCUUAUCACCUUCGUUCGCUCUGCUCUUUCUUGGGCCGGCCCCGAUUUCUCCUUCUCCUUCUCCUCCUCCGGCAUCGACAGAGGUAGAGGCAGAGGCGGAGGAAGAGGAGACGGCACCACCCUCGUUACGAUCACCAAGGGUCACCGGCACCAGCGGAAGAGAAGAUGAAAGAAGAGGAGGUGGCGCUGCCCUCGUUACCAACGUCGAGGGCCGCAGAGGAGGUGAAGGAGGUGAUGAAGGUCAGAAAGAGAAAAAAGAACGAAGAAAAAAAGAAGAAGAAGAGAGAGGUAGGUUGUUUUUGUGUUUCGGUACUCCGAUGUGGCAUAAAGUGUAGGGAGGCUCGCGUUGGUGAGGAUGGGGGUCGAAAAGGGAGGGGGAGAAGGAGGAGAUGGUCAAGGGAAGAGGAAGAAGAAUAAGAAGAUGAGGGAUGAGGGUCAAAGAAUAGUGCAAUUUUCUCUAAAAUAGUGUAAUUUUUAUCGUAAUAGUACAACUUUUAUUUCAAAGAGUGUAAUUUUUAUCUCAAAGAGUGCAACGUUCAUAUUAAACAGUGCAAUUUUCUUGUAAAGUAGUUUAAUUUUAUUUUAACAGUGUAACCUUUAUCUUCUUUUUUAUUUUCUCUAGGUCUUAGACAUUUCGUAGCAGCAACGAUAUAUGAUGGUCUUUUAAAGAGAAAUUUUUUUAUUUUUUUACUUUUUAUUCUUUUUUUUCCUACCCUUUGCAUCUUUGUUCUCUUCUUGGAGAUGGGCACAUCUUUUUUUCUCACCCUCACAGGCAGCGAGCACCUCCUCGGCAACAGCCUCAUCACCUCCGUCUGCUCCGUCUUCACUCGAGCGCGCUCUGAGUUCUCCUUCUCUUUCUCCGGCGCUGGUGGAGGACAAGGAGGUAGCACCGUCCUCGUUAUCGUCGCCGAGAGUCGCCAGCGCCGGCGGAGGAGGAGAUAGAGGAAGAACAUGUGGCAUUGCCCUCGUUACUGUUGCCGAUGGCCGCGGAGGCAGUAGAGGAGGCGAUGAGGGUUCGAGAGAAGAAAAGAACGAAUGAAAAAAAAAGAAGAGAGAGAGAAAGGAAUAAGGAUAUUUUGGUCAGCUUGUUGAAAAUCUGACCUGAAUUUGCAAAACCCAAAGUAGUUGCCCACUUUUGCAAAAUCGCAAAACUAGUGGAUUUUUUAUGCAAAUUGGCCAAUUUUUUUUUAUCUAUUUUGAUUGUUCUAAUAUACAAAUUCUAUAAUAAUUAAAGCAUACUUUAUAUAUUUAUGAUAUAUAUUGGUGUAGUUCUUACAUGCACCCAUUAGACCGUGCAUUACUCUUAGAUUUUAGUUAUAGAGAAUCUAAAAUUAGAAUUCAAUUUGUUGAUAGAUCUAGUGAUGCUUGAAAAGCUUAUAUAUUACAAAUUAUGUAUUUUUGACAUAUUAUUAAAUAAAAAAUUACAGUUCUCUAAUCUAAUAUAUAUAAUAUAUUAGAUCUUGACAAACGGGCAAGGUUGCAGCUUGAGUUGUUGGUCAGUAUGUUUGGAGAGUGCUGAAUUGAGUUGAAGCCAUUUUGGCACAAAAUGAAUAUGAAAAUAGACUUAAAAUUGAAAAUCAGCUCAAUUUGUGUUUUGUACAUUCUGGAUGCGUGGAUGUUAUUUAGGGCACCUGAAAGUUGCGAUUGAGGAAUUGAGGUUUCGAACCUCAGUUGCAGAUGCUCGGAUGUAUCGUUUGAGGACUGGAUGUACUAUAGCCACGUUUCGGAUGCUCGAUUGUCAUUGUAACGGUAUGAGAGUGGGUGAGAGUAAUGUGAACACAGCAGUGCGCACGUGGCAGUAAGAGUGACUCAACAGGGAAUUUCGGCAUAGGGUCCGGGUGCCAAAAUGUUUUUAGGCAUUGCUAUGAUUGAAUUGGAUGGAAGUCCGGGUGCUCGAGUUGGUUUCGGGCAAAGGUUUGAUAGCUUUAGGCGCAUCAUUGCAUUUGGAGGGCACCCAAAUGUUUGUGGAUGUGAUGGUUUCAGAUCUAUGAAUGUUGGCACUAGGCACCUGAAUCCUGGCUUUUGAGAUGAGGUGCAUUUGUUGGAGAUGCCGAGGGCUUUUUAGCUUCUCUCUUUUUAGCCUAUAUAUAGACCCAAGGGUAUUUGGCUGUCAUUCUUUACACACUUUGAUUCUACUGAGUCUUUUUCUUCUUCUUCCUCCUCUUUUCCCUGCCAUCGUUGGAGCCUAUUAAACAGAGAGCCCAGGAGUUGACCUUUCCCUUCGUUGGUAGCCAGUUAGAAAUGAGAGGCUUGGGUAGCUAAGAAAGAGAGUGCUCAAAGGAAGGGAGUUUGGGGUGUUCAUCCUUACAUCAGCGCUAGAGGUAGGUGAUCGAUUUGUUUGUUAUAUUAAUUGAGGAUUGUCAACUAGGAUUUUAGUCGACAUAGAUUUUUGUUGCGAGUUUUUGUACUCGAUUUCUAGGAAUUGGGUUUGAGUUAUUUCUUGUUGUUUUUCUAGGUGAUGUGAGGAGUGGAGUGUUGCGCAUGGGUCUCCUUUCCUUCCCUUUCCUUGGAGUAACAAUCUUGGUGGGUUUUACGUCACCAAAAAUGGCGGACUUUUUAUUGUCUAUUUCUUGCAUAAUUAGUUAUCUACAGAUUUUUGUGGUUGAGACUGCAUGUAGUCUAGAUGCCUUUAUGAUAAUGCGAGUUGCGUGCUAUCAGAGAUAUGAUAAUCUACUUGAUGAUUUAUGUAUACGCAUGCGAGUUGUAAUAGGGGCCGCGUUCAGUGCGGCGGUAUUGGACAAUUAUUAGAUAGUGAGAGUUAUGCUAUUGUGCCGAUGUAAUAUUUGAAGAUUCUGUUUAUAGGCGAAUUCAAAUUUUGAAUUUGAAUUGCAUUUCAUUCCUCUCUCCCCAUUUGGGAAUCUCUCUGCUCAGUCUCUUCCGGCCUUCACGCCUCUCGGCUCGCACCUGCCCGGUUCUCUCCCUCUUCUAUAUAUAAUAAAUAAUAUAAUUAUAUACUAAUAUUUGUGUGGCGUGUAUAUAUAUAUGUUGUGAUUUUUUGGUGAAGACGGAGAGAGUUGGAAUUACGUCACACAUUUGCGAUCAAUAAGGGAAACAAAUUCGUGCUAUUUCAUGUAUAUCAGCAAUGUCGGAAAGCGUUGCGGUAUAGUCGAUUCGCAAAUCUGAACUGACGGAUCCCAUAAUCAGCGUCUGAAUUAUUGAGAAGGGCCGAUUUUGCAAGAUAUGUUUUUCGCAAAAAGUCCCAAUAUUUCAUGGUAUUCCGAAUUGCACGGGAUCGCUCAUGGAGGUGCAUUCUUCAUUUUACAACGUGCCUGUGGGGCUCAGUUAGUAAUUCUGUAGAAUAGGCGAAGUUUUGCGGCAAUUGAUGAAGGUAGAGAUAGUAGGAAUUAGGGUUUUCUUCUCCCCAACCCUACCGCUAAACCUACUUGCACAUACCCGAGCCCCAACUACCUCCCCCCCUCAUCUGCUAACUAAGUGCACGUGUCACGCCCAGGGUACCAGCGGAAGCAUAUCCGGUACGUGCACAGACCCGGCCUACACCUGCAGUAUAUAAGGCGUACUACAAAGAAAGCGAAGUCGAUCAUGGAAAAUACACAAAGACAGUCCUUAAUGCACUGAUAGUCAGAAGCAACUGUACAAGUUCGAUAUACUAUCAGUAAAAAACAAAAGAUGUACAAUCGCAAAAUCCAUCGUCUAGAGAGCCAACAGUAGCACAACAGUAACAUCGGGAUCAACAGUAAUUAAUAUCACGGAGUAAUACCAAAAGUAGAUACAAUGGUGUCUCUCUAUACAAAGGACAAUCCCGUCGGCCGUAGCACCGAGUAGCAGGUGAUCGACUAGCACCGCUCCUAGCAAAGUCUAGCUAAGAACGCGACUCCCUUGCCAACGAUCCCUAGCCUCUACUGCGCAGAUAGCUCUGUAGAAAACAAUCACCAAAAGGGCGUGAGAAACUAUUAAACUAAUAGUUCCCAAAGUGGUAACCGCCAGCCUCGCGAAAUUACUACCACUGAGGCUCAUUGAUGUACUGAAAGUAAAGUAAACGAUAAGUGCAAGAUAUAAAAAUAUGCAGUGUCUAAACUCAAUAACAGGCAAUGUAUUCAACUGUAAAACAUGAUUUCUGGCAGUAAUGAUCAACUGAAAAUAGAAGUUAUCGCAACUACUAUAACAUACAUAAACACUACAUCAUAGAAGUGUAAAGUACACUGUACACUACAACUAAUAGUCUCAAUUCAUUAACUACAUUCAUGUUUUCACGUUUCAUUCUCAUCACGAAGUAGGCUCUACUGCAAAUGGGCCCUAGUCGCCCACGAAAAAUGUCGUUAGGACCUCAAGGUGCCAGCUGCCCGCGCUAAUGGCCCCGUGGUAGUAUAACACUCGUCCGCACGGCAAUCCACUUCGGCACCGCAUUCGCAUGGCAGAGCAUCUGUCGCGUAGGCGAACUCACGGAGGCCGGCUUGUAGGGAAGCUACCCCACAACGUUGUGCGAAUAGCACUGAUGCAAGCAAGCAAAGUCCAUUGUCCACAUGUCCAAGUUUCAUAUUUUCAUGUUGAAAGUUCUUUAUCCUGUCGCCUCUGAUCGAAUUUCAAUACAACAAAUAGUAACAAGAGCUACGUAUCCUACUAGAUUGUAAAGACAAGUAAGUAAGCUAAAAUCACAUGGCAUUAUCAACAUAGUCAUGCACAUGUCAUAGCUCCUACGUGUAGAUCAAGAGAAUGCUCAUUGUUCUCGUACUUUAAAGUGCAUCCUACACUUGCUUCAAUAAGUCAUUCAAACAUGUAUUUGAAUCUCGUACUUUAUAGAGAUUUCAUUCACUUACAUCAAAACUCACUCGAUGAUAUUUUUCAAAUUCUCUAUUCAAUCAGCGAUAUGGCACUCAAUGCACCUAUGCAAUCAUCUAUUCUAUAGAUACAUAUAAGACAUGAGGGGAGCUCACUUGCUCUGGUUAGUCGACCAACCUCAUACUAAUGUCCAAUGCAAUUCAAAGGGAAGUCAAUCAGCUCCCAAGGUCUCAAUUUCUGCUCGAACACGAAGCCAUAAAUAUUGUAUCAAAAGUACGAUCAAAUGGCCAAUUUCGGCGCAAUCCGCACUAGCUAAACAUGUAAAGUUGAAAUCCCUGUUUUGGGCUUUUCGUUUGUAGAUUAACCUCAAAGUGUAACUAAUUCCUCCACAAGUCAGUCGAAGACAAUCCAAGGCUCGUCGGCAAUCUCGCGGCGAACAAUACCGAAACGGAGCGUCAAAAAGUAUGUAAACAAGUUAAUUUAGAAACCGAAAUCUCGCGAAUCAGAGUUUUCUAACUGAAAUUUCGAAUUACCCUGUGUUAGAAUAUCCUCCAAACCAGCUUCCAAAGUACAAUUGCAGCCCAAAUAGGCUCAAGGAUCCGCUGCGAAGAGAUCAUCACAAGAACAACGUCAUAACGCCGUUUAAUUCAAUAAUUUUCUUCAUAACGAACUAAUUAUCUCUCUACUUAAGCUUCCAAGGAGGCUUAUCCUUGGUCAAGAACGUUAAUUCACAAAUACUAAUUAACUAUCUUAAUUGCUGAAUUCCUCAAUGUUACAUUCAAUGUGGACAGCAAAAACCAUAAAGCAAUACUCAACAUCGCUAAUAGAACGUCGAUAACGGAAAAACUUGAGUCACAUACCAUUCUCAGUCCACAAGACCCGAUCCAAGCUGCAGAGUUGAACAGAUAGCUGCGAAAAGCUCUGCCAAAAUACUCCUCAUACACCACGUACCCUGACACAUGAAGCGAAUAACCACUACCGUUGGACGAAAGAAACGAUCGAAAUCGGCUGAAUUCUUGUAGAGAGAGAAAAACCUAGAGAGAGAGAUGGGAGAAGGUGGAGGAAGCUGCCUCCUGCACUCUAGCACACUCCACUGACAGUCCCAGAUCGCUGGGAUCAAAUAAGGUAGGUAUCGUCAAAUGUGAAAGAAGCCAAAAUAGCCUGCUGCUAGAUUCUGGCCAGUCUGUACCGAGAUAUGGCUGUACCGGUACACAACGAAAGCAGAAAAGGCUGAUUUACUUUGUUUGAUGACAAAUUUCUCACUUUUAACCUCUCCUAAUACACUCUCUAUCGGUUGCUCAAAAUCUUGUCAAANNNNNNNNNNNNNNNNNNNNNNNNNCUCAGGUCUGAUCCUUAACUGGUGAUAUCCCGACUGCAAGUCGAUCUUGGAAUAUACACAAGAUCCCUGGAGCUGGUCAAAUAGAUCAUCAAUCCUCGGUAAUGGAUACUUGUUUUUGAUCGUGACUUUGUUAAGUUCAUGAUAGUCCACACACAAACAAAGCGAUCCAUCCUUCUUCUUGACGAAUAGGACCGGUGCUCCCCAAGGUGACACACUCGGUCGCACGAAACCCUUGUCCAAAAUAUCUUGCAACUGUGCCUUCAGCUCCGUCAAUUCCGCUGGUGCCAUCCUGUAGGGUGCCUUUGAGAUUGGAGUAGUCCCGGGAAGGAGAUCUACCACAAACUCAAUCUCCCUGUCAGGUGGCAUGCCUGGAAGCUCCGCUGGAAACACAUCUCCAAAUUCCCACACUACGGGAAUAUCCUCAAUCCUAGGGGCGUCAUCCUCACCCCGCAACACAACAGUAGCCAAGUAGGCUAUGGAGCCUCUACUAAUCAACUGCCUAGCUCGAGAGGAGCUAAUAGUCAUCGCAAACAGCGAACUCUGGCAUCCUCGGUACACAACCUCCGCCUGCCCCGGCUCUCUAAAUGUCACUGUUCGAUCCUUACAAUCGAUAGUGGCGUAGUACUUAGUCAACCAAUCCAUGCCCAACACAACAUCAAACUCCCCGAGUUUAUGCAAGACUAGCAAGUCCACGGGCAUGAUCCAAUCGCCAACCCGAACAGGGCAACUGGGGCAAAACUCCCGAAUAUCUAAAAUAUGAUCGGGUACAACAACUCGUCCAGGAUGCAACAAGGAUACAAGUGGGAUGCCACGCAACUCGGCAAACAGCCGGUUUAUGAAUAAAUGCGAUGCACCGGUAUCAAACAAAGCUCUAUCCUGAAUACCAUAAAGUAAAAUGAUACCUGCGACCACAUUCUCGGCUGCCGCCACCUCCUCAGUCUGGGCCGCAUACAUGCGCCCGCUCGGGUCCUGUCGUGACCCCUCCGCCUACCGCUGAACUGGCGGCCGUCCUGCCUAGUGAUGCGCAGAAGAUGCCCCUGGCUAGGACCUGGCGAUGCUGGUGCAGAUGCCGAAGAUGGCACUGGCGCUGAACCUCUCGGGCAGUCCGACUGAAAGUGGCCCUCCUGGCCACACAGGAAGCACCUGCCCCGGCUGCGUGAACACUGUCGCGGGUAAUGGGGACCACCACAGAUCACGCAGCGGGGAUCCUGGCGACGGUCGGGUCCUCCUCGCUAAAUAGAUGCGCCACGACCUCGCGACUGGCUCCGGCUCUUAGGGUGCCUCGGCGGCCUCCGUGAGUGCGUCUGACUCGCACCCUCAGCCGCGGACCUCUUCCCCUUGUCCUUGUCUAGGGCCUCACGUUGCUCCUGAAGGUCUGCCGCUCCAGCCUCCACAAUGAGUGCACGGUCCACAACCUCCCGGUAGGUUUGGAGGUUAGAGGACUGCACCAACCGAAAGAUUGAAGGCCGCAAUCCACGCUCGAAAAUGCGGGCCUUGUCCUCGUCAUCCCGCACCACAAAAGGCACACAGUGAAGUAGCCGGAAAAACUCCCUCUCGUACUCGGCCACUGACCGCUCGUUCUUGCACAAGCUGCUCAAAUCCUGCUCCAUUUUCCUCUUUGCACUGGUCGGGAAGUAGUGCGCUAGAAGCAGCUCCUUGAACCUCGCCCAGGAAAUCGCUGUCAAGUCGGUGUUGGGGUUGUCCUGGAUGUCCAACCACCAACGAUAGGCCUUGCCGUCCAGAAAGUGAGUGGCGAGCCACACUCUAUCCCGCUCCUCUACAAAGGUAUCUCGAAACAGCUUCUCCAUGUGCAUCAACCACUUCUCAACAAUCCAGUGGUCGACGUUCUCGCCAUCAAACGUCCUCUGGCUGCACCUCCUGAACUCACUGAGGCGAUCCAUGAGCCGAUCCCGCUCGGCUCCCUCAGCCAUCACGGGGAAUGCCGCCCUUGUCGCUGGUCUCUGAACCGGUAGUGCCGGAGCCACCUCCUCCCGAGGUGCGGUCGUCGGUGCCGCACGUGAAGAACUGGGCGCAGGGGACUGCGCCCUCAGUGCGACGUCCACCACGGGUGCUGGCGGUGUGGGACCCUGGGUCUCUCUCGAAGCUGCUGCCUGCUGAAGUAGGAGGUCCUCAAGAUGCUUCAUCCGCGCAUCCUGCCGCUGAGCCACCUCAGCCUGUCACUGCGCCGCUGCCGUCUGCUGCGCCAACAGAUCGGUGAGAACCGCAAGCUGGGCCCUCAAGUCACGGACUUCACUAGAUUCGGAAGUAGCGGAGGUCUCGGCCUCCUCGGGGUGUGCCGCAUCAUCCGCCCCAGCAGACUGGGAGCGUGUAACCGGCAUGGUCACUACAAAACAUAAAAGCGCAGGUUAGUAACCCACGCUAUCACAUCCCUGCUCAAAACGAUAAAACCCAAAUCAUGCGAAAGUAAGGAAGUGUCCUCCACUACUAACUCCCGAUGUUACGUUGUCGGCCGCCAACGUAACCCUCCGCGAAGUUAGAAGCCAUACACUCCGAUCAACUCUAACUUUUUAGAGUUAUCAUAUAUCCAAUUGUAAUACUUUCGCUCACAAGUCAAUUAGACCUCGUCUCUCACGAGCCUAACUCCUAUGGUCCAACCGGCCUAAGGUUUGCUAGGUUCACUAAGACUCAACCCUAGGCUCUGAUACCAAACUAAUCUGUCACGCCCCGGGACCGGCAAAUGCCUUCCCGAUAGCGUGCCCAGACCCGCCAUAUGUCAACACAUAUAAGGCGUCUACAUCAACAGCGGAAAUAAAACAAGAAACAGGACAAAUAGGAUAAUAACAACUAAUGAUAUCAGAGCGAGUAAAGUUCUAUCAUCUAAACCAGAGUAAAAGAAACAUAACUAGACAAUGAAAGUAAAGUACAAAGUGAUACAAUACUAUCUCCUCAAAAGGAAUACAAAGAUCCAAAAGAAGGGUGGUCUCUAUACAUAUACGGGUACAACUCACAACCUCUCACAAAAUAAAACCACGAGAGGUAGACCACUUAUCAUAUCGCCCUCGAAGGAACCUAGCUCGAAGCAACUCCCUUCCCUCGGUCCCUAGCCUCUCCCGGCGUGGAAGACUCUGAAAGAAAACAUAAAACAGAGGGCGUGAAAACUAUAAUUUAUAUAAAACAGUGGGCAAUUACUGACCUCAGCUCAAUGCACCACUAGGCCUCAAAAGGAAAGGGUAAGUCCAAAGCAAUAGUAAAAACGAGUAAUUUGCAUUUAUGAAAGCAUAAUGAAAAUGCUAAACUACUACUUGCAAUUAAACAUGGCAUUUAUGUAAUGCACAAUUAUCUUGUCAUGAAGGAUAUGUCUCUACUUAGCCAUAAAUAAUGUCAUGGUUUGCUGAAUGAAAUUAUGAGGAUUAUCCUUUAUCAUAGCAAUAUUGUAUAUAUGAAUGCAAAUAAGCAAUGUCUCCUAGCAUACUACAUGUAUGUAUGUAUACCCAAAUGUCUAAAUCUAUGCUAGAAGCAAGUUCGAGUAAUCCAACUACUACUCUCUAUCUAGUAGUGAUUAUAACAUACUCAUCCCGUGUCGAUUUUCAUUUCCAAUUAAGGACCUACCUAAGGUAGUCCAGUUUGUGCCGCGUAAGUACCUGUGGUAGCCCAACAUCCCUACUCUUGGAAUGUGUCUGUCCCACUCGACCCCGUAGGUUUCUCAAUACCGCACGAGCGAACAUAGUCGCGUAGGGUGACUCCGGAGUGCCGGCUUGUAGGGAGCGACCCUCACAAGCAUGUGCGAAUGAGCACAAAUGGCAAACAAGCAAGGUCAAUAUCUCAAAUAUCCAAUCAUCAUGUCUCUAACAUGGCAAUAAUCACUAGCAUCUCGAAGAUCUAGUUCUAUGUCACAAUGUGAAAUUCUCAUAUUUACUAAGUCUAGUGCCCCUUUAUGACACUUAGACGUUUCGAUGUACAAGCAUGAUCCAAUUCUCUCAAUGGCACUAUCCACUAGGUUCGCACAUGACCGAGCUCAAUGCCCCUUUAUGAUAUUAGCCCAAUUAUUCACAAGUAGUACAAGUCCCCAAGCCUCUUUAUGGCUUACUAAGGUUCUGAUGUCACGAUUAGGCAUAAAGGUUAAAUGCAUAAUAGCAAUGUCCAAUUUCAUAAUGGGAAUCAUAGUUCCAAAUCUCAACUAGGAUGCUAUAUCUCACAUGCAUGCACUCUACCACAUAGAGGUCCAAAAAUUUACUAUACAUUACAUAUGCAUGUUAAGCAUUCAAAAAUUCAUAAUAAAUGUAUCUAACAUGAUUAUGCAUGCUUUUGCAUUUUACAACACUUAAAACAUCAACAAUGAGAUUUUCUCAUUGUGUGGCUAGGUCAAACCCACCGAACCGUCGCGUGCUCCUUCGAUUCGCCGAACGGGGUUGUCCACGAGUCUCAAAAUACCCUAAAAGUGAUGAGCGAAGAGAUACACAAGCGUUACGAGCAACUCUAGGCUCAAACUUUAACCAUCUCAAGAAUAGGGUCAAAAACUCACCUCUAGUGUAAAAUCUCUUCCUAAGCUCCAAAAGAGAGCUAAAUCCCUUCCAAUCGAACCCAAAGGAAGGAUCUAAUCCAAGUGAUCAAGCUCCAAAAGCCCUAGGUCCAAAAUACCCAAAAUAAACCAUAAAAUCCCAAUCUAGGGUUCCAUAUGGUAAAACCUACCAAAACAAGGAUCAAAGGUUAGAAUCAAGGUACUAACCUCUCAAGGUGCCUCCAAACAAGCUCCAAAUCUUCUAAAGUUGAAGAUUGGUCCACCACCAAGCCCUACAAGCAAGCUCCAAGCCUUGCAAGGGUGGAAAAGAGAAAAAGGGGGUUGAGUUCCAAGCUUCCUCAAGCAAGCUCCUCUUCCUCUUCUUCUCCUCUUUCUUCUUCUUCUCUCUCUAGAAAGUAUGGGGAGAGGGUGAGAAUGUGGAAAUGAGGAAGGAAAGAGGGUGGAAUGGCUAAUAAGCCCAUCUAGUGUAACAAAAUCCAGUGAGGCCCCUGAAAAAAACCAAUAUUACAUCAGCCCGGUCUGGGCAGUUUUCGCCCAGAGGGACCGGUCUCUCCCCAACAGGGACCGGUCUCUCGCUGCGAACCCGAAAAACCAACGUUCAGGAACCGGUCUCUCCUCGCGCGGGACCGGUCUCUCACUGCGAGGACGCGUUCGGGGACCGGUCUCGCCCGCCAGGGACCGGUUGCCUCAGGGCUGCCACAACACUGCUCACUGGGGGACCGGUCUCUCCUUUCAGGAACCGGUCCCCGAGAGUGAAAACUCUUAGGACUCAUCCAGAAUUCAGGUUUUCGAACUUUUUGGAUCGGAAAACAUUCUACGACCCUCCACCAAGUGUGGAAAAGCUCGAAACACAUCCAAUCACUCGAACCUCACAAUUUGCAAAGGUCCAGUGUGUUACAACUAUACAAUCAAUUAGUAGAUCAACUGAUACUACUUUCGAUCCUACUAUCCAUAGCUCACAUCAUCUAGCUUCUAAGGUUUCUACUACCUUAGUCUUAUAGCUUAUGUCCAACUAGCUUCUAAGGUUUCUACUACCUUAGAUCCAUACUAUAUUCAUCCAGCUUCUAAGGUUUCUACCACCUUAGAUCUUGCCAUUUACCACUUGCUUUUAAGGUUUCUACCACCUUAACCAAGCUAUUCACCCGACUCGGCCUUGAGUCAAUCCUACGCGGAAUAUCACGCACUCGGCUGCUACCACAGCCCACCGCGCUCCUUGACUUAGCCACCUGGCAGCGAAACCGUCGCACACGCCGAACAAUGGCUCAAGUCAACCGGCGGCAUAAUCCACAAACCAGCUUAACCAUCUGGCGGCGAAAUCGUCGCACACGCCGAACAAUGGUUCAAGCCUCUGGGUGGUGACUCAUCGCACACACCCCCUUCCCUUGCUAUCAAUCUCGGCGGCGAAAUCAUCGCACAUGCCCUAGCCUUGAUACCAAGGUCACCACAAGUUCUGGGAUUCCGGAAUUCACUUUCCACAUCUCAAUGGGUCAUCUGCGAACCCUAUAAUGUCGAACUAUCUAGGUUCGACCCAUGCACAUCCUAGUGGCUGCUACAACUAUAGUCCACAACUUAGGUUCAACCACGCUAGGUUCCAUGUCAUCUCUACCUAGAUCUCGACUUCUAGGUUCACUUGUUCAAUCUAUGUUCCAUGACACUAGGUUCAAUGCCACUCGAUCUAUUUGACAUCCUACUUGUCCAAUCUAUGUUACAUGAAUUUAGCACAGGCUACAACCUGUCAACAUGCAUAUAUAAUCUAGCAUGAUCCACAAUAUGUGUAAUAUACCGAAAUUCGGUAGGUUAUAUCAGACUUUAGUCAAAUUGACUAAAGUAUGUCGAGAGAAAUAGUUGGACAAAGUCCAUUUGACGUUCCAACAAUGUUGGAAGAGUUAAAGUUUAGUUCCAAGUGUGAUGGAAGAGUUUUAGCAUUGCUUAGCGCGAGAUGGAGCAUGAGCUCUGCCAAAAUUGAGGUCUGGGCACUGUGUACCGGUACUGGGGAAGUGGUACUGGUACCAGGCCAGCCACCCGAGAAGGCAGCUCCUCGGGUUUGGUCACUGCGCUACGGCGUACCGGUGACGGCCCUGAUGCGUACCGGUACCCCGCAGCCACCCUAGAACAGCAGCUCUCGAGUUUGGGCUGUUGAACAGGGGUGUACCGGUGAUGCCCACCUGCGUACCGGUACCCUGCAAUGCGAAGAGCAGGUUGCAGUCUGCUGCAAAUAAGAAAAGUUGGAGGGUUUGUUUGCAAUUAUAGCAGCUUAUAACCCCCCCACCUUCUCCUCUCUCGUCUAUAGCCAAAGGAACUCUAAGGAACUCUCUCUUUCUCUAAGAAGUCUCUCUCUCUCUCUUAGAGGUGGAUCAAAAGGUGGAUUUGGAGGAGAAGAAGGCUAGAAGGUAAAGCAACUUCUUCUUCUUCUUCCUUUGCUCAAGGAUAGGAUUGCUUUAGAGGUAAGCUCCAUGAGCUCUCAUGGUAGAUGCCUAGGAUUUGGUUCAAAUGCCCUAAGAAUGGUUUUGGUUGGAUCUUUAGAUGAUAUUAAGUUUGUUUUUGCUUAUUUCCAAGAUCCAUUUGGUGCUUAUGAUACAUGGCAUUGUUAGGGCACCAAAAUUAGGGCUUUUGUCAUAGAUGGAGUUUAAAUAUAAAUUAACCUUAUAGAAACCUAAUUGAAGGUAUUUCCGACGCGUUUGUGGACUCAGUUCAAAGAUCCAACAAGUCUACGCAUAGGAAUUGAAAAAAAAGCUUAUUUUGGCUUCGUUUUGCCGCAGUCGACAGAAUAGGCGGCUAAAAAUUACAAAAAUCGAACCGUAGCACCUUAGAAACCAUACGAGGUGGGUGGUGCAUUUCAAAAGCCUCGGAUUUUCUUUUAUGUCUAAAAUGUUAUUUCUUGAACAUAUGUGUAUAUUGAGCUUCACGCAUUGUAGGGUGAUUGAGAGCUAGUUGUUGCAUGUUGUGAGUACAAAUGCAUGUGAGAUGAUUUUAAACUAAUGAGCACUUGUAAAACCCUAUGUAUGCAUGAAUAAUGAUAAGAACCUAGAAAAAGCAAAGAAUCUAGUGACAUUGAGAACAAAUGACAUUAUGACAUCAAUAGUAGAGUGGCAUCAAUGAGUUUUGAAUGCUAGUGUUACAAGAGUGGCAUUAAUGGGUCAAGAAUGCUAGUGUACAAGUGUGACAUUAAUGAGAACAAUAAAUAGAUGAGAUUGAGUAUAAAGAACAUGUAGUGUAUGUGACACUAAUGAGAGUUAAAGUGUCACGCCCCGGGACCCAGUGGAAGCUUGCCCGGCGCGUGUCCAGACCCGCCAUACGUCUGCAACAUAUAAGGCGUCUACAACAAAAAGAUAAAUAAAGCAAUAAUAUAUAAAGAUCUAGAGAUAUCAGAGCAUACAACAUCUAGAUUCUAGGAUAAGAAGGUAAACAAGAGCUAAAAUCCACUAAGAAAGAACCAUAAAGUGAUACAAUAGGAAACCAAAAUACAAGUGCUAAAAGUAUAACAAUGGCAAUCUCUAUACAUGGUAGCAAACUCUCCCUCACAACAAAAUACAAAAAGAGGGAACCAUCUAAAGCAAAAAGCGAGCUCCACGCUAUCUAGUUAGCGAUCCCCUUGCCACAGUCCCGUGCCUCCACCGGUGUAGAGAGCUCUGAAAGAAAACCAUAAAAUAGGGGCGUGAGAACUAUUAGAUAAUAGUUCCCAGUGGGCAAUUACUGACUUAAGUGAAAAGCACCACUAGGCCCAAAACCAAAGGAUGUAAGUGAAAUAUAUAAAAGAUAUGAACAACAAGUAUGUAAACAUGAAUAACUUGCUAAACCUUUAAGUCUCUACUUAGCAUGAAUUUGCAUAAGUAUAAAUGCUAUUCUAUCAUGAGUAUGCAUGAGUAUAAAUCACAUAAUGUCCACGAUGCAAUUAGUAAACUGUUAUUGUUUACUAACUAGUAAAUGUCAUUGUUUACUAACUUGUCUAAUUGUCCAAUUUACAUUUUGGUUCCACUUGUUCCAAGUCACAUAGGACCUACCCGUGGGUAGUCUGACUUGCGCCGUGCCUAAUGGCCCUGUGGUAGUCAACAUUCCCACUCUAUGAAUGAGCUUCCCCCACGGCAUCCCAUUUCGACGCCCUGUCACGUCCCGCUAUCGCCAAUUUGGUCGAUCCGGCCCGUACACAGACGCCGAACGAACAGCACCUCCUCUGUUCGCCCAAGGCUCAACAACAAUGGAUACAUGUAUAAAGAAAUUAAAUAAUUCCCAGGAUCAUAUUUCAAUAUACAUGGCUUGCACGAAGGCAAGCAACAAACACAAGUGAUAGUAAGUCUAACUAAACAUGAAAUCCACUGUAAUUUAAAACUUUACAUAACUGAAACAUUUAAUUAUAACAUGUCCUUCAAUACAUUCAUUUAUACGUCUCUGUACAUCAAAAUAGAUGAUACACGAACCCAAAAUGGUAUACCACUAGUACUCGGGUGUCCACUAGCUAGGCUGCUGGCUCUUGCCUCGAUCCUCGGCCACAACGCUCGCACUGGAACCUGUAUGGUUAGUGGUGUGAGAACUACAAGAAAGUUCCCAGUGGGUUCGGCUGCCGACUUCGCCGACUCACCCACUAGGUCUACUCAGGCAUAUGUAGGCAAGAAAAGUAAGCAAAUAGUAACCAACUAUAACAUGUAACUACUACAAUGCCUGUACAAAGCUGAAAGAAGUAAUAUAUGAAAACUGUAAAUAUGCAUGGAUGCUUUUCAUUAACUUUACCCAAUCUUUUGGUUAACCCUCUGGUUAACAGCUGGACAAGUACGUUAGUCCUGGGGCAAGUACGUUAGCCCAUAAAUUUACCCAAUUCAGUGGUUAACCCUUUGGUUAACAAUAACUCACCAACGAAAUCCCUCACGGGCCCUAAGCUGCCUCCCGAUGGGACCGUCUGUCGGACAAGUACGUUAGUCCUGGGGCAAGUACGUUAGCCCAACAAGUGACUACUCCGGAGCUCACUGCCUGGGGGGAGCGACCACCACCAAGCUAAGAAAACAGACUAUGUGAGUAAGAUCUGAUCCCCCUUUAGAGGAUUCAACUGACAACAAUGUCACAAUUUAACUCUAACUAGUUCUUUAUACUAGUUUCAUAAUUACAUUUCUCGAUGCUAACCAAAUCUCUAGUCAUGAUGUCACCAAGUUUACUAUUGUCUUGGUUCUUUACAGUUUCAUACAUUCAUAGGGUUCUAUAUCCACAUUCUAAUGUUCAUAUGUAAGAUCUGGUCCUCCUUUAGAGGAUUCAAUAACUGACAAUACUACAAGUUAACCUCUAACUAGCUCUUUAUGCUAGUUUCACAAUUUCACUGUUUAUCUCACAAUGCUAUCCAAUUCUCUAGUUAGAAUGUCACCAAGUUCACUAUUGUCAAAGUCCAUGCAUUCAUAGGGUUCUAUGUCCACAAUCUAAGGUUCACAAAUUCUUAUUGUUGAUAGGAAUUCACAUUUUCACUCGCUCAAUGCCAAACACCCUAUAAUGCAUGACUACAAAUAUAAAUAUGCUCAACGAAGAAUCAUAGACAUAAAAGGUGAUUCAAAGACUUCGGAUAGCACCACCCACCUGUCUUUGAUGCCGGAAUGGGAGAAAUGCGCUUCUAGCGCUUUCCCGAGAAUCGCGACCCGCGCUCGCGACUUUCGACGCCGAAAAUCUUCUUUUGGCGAUAUCUUCGCGUAGGAGCGUCGGAUUGCCGAACCGACUUCGCCAGCGCGUUUCUUUUAUCCCCAAUUAGGUUUACACGCGGUCAAUUUCACUUUAGGGCUUCUAUCCUGCAAAAGUGCAUUGUCGAGUCAGUUUCUCAAAAACCCCGAUUUCAAUGCAAUUUUACAUGUAAAUAGCAUAUUUCAACUCUUUCUUCGUCCAAGGAUCUCAGAUCAGUUAUUAAAAACUGUACAAAUGCUUCGAUUCCACUUUUCUCUCCAUUCUAUUAUCUUUCUUUCAUUUUUUCCUCUUCUUCUUUCUUUUCUUUCUUUCUCUUUUCUUUCUUUCUUGCUUUCUUUUCUUUUCCUUCCUUUCUUUCUUUUCUUUCUUUCUCUUUUCUUUCCUUUCUUUUCUUUCUUUUCUUUCUUUCUUUCUUUUCUUCCUUUCUUUCUUUUCUUUCUUUCUCUUUUCUUUCCUUGCUUGCUGCCCCUGCAGGGCAGCAGCUGCUGCUGCUUGCACUGCUGCUGCUGCUGCUGGUGCAUGCUGCUGCUGCUGCUGCUGGCAGCAGCUGGCUGAGCUGCUGCUGCUGCAGCAGCUUGCUGCUGCUGCGGAGGCUGCUGCUGCUGCUAGCUGCAGCUGCUGCUGCUGCUAAUGCUGCUUGCUGCUGCUGCUGAUGCUGCUGCUGCUUGCUGCUGCUGCUGAAGCUGCUGCUGCUGAAGCUGCUGCUGCUGCUGCUGAAGCUGCUGCUGCUUGCUGCUGCUGCUGGUGCCACUGCUGCUGCUGCUAACUGCAGCUGCUGCUGCUGCUAGCUGCAGCUGCUGCUGCUGAUGCUACUUGCUGCUGCUGCUGAGCAAGCUGCUGCUGCAGCUUGCUGCUGUUCCUGCUCACAGCAGCAGCAAGGGCUGCUGCUGCUGCUGCGACUACUAAUAGCAGAGAGAGGGGUGAGAGGGAGAGAUAUAUUUACCUUUUUUUCUUUUUCUUCUUCUCUUUCUCCUUUCUCUUCUUCUUCUCCUUCUUUUCUCCUUCUCUCUCUCUCUCUACGUAUGCAGCAAGAAGAGGGGAUAAGGAUGGAGGGGGCUGCCUGGCAGGUUUAGUGGAAUUCCACUAAGCCAUAUGAAAAUUACCAUUUUGCCCCUCGACUUAUCCGUUUAGCCGCGCGGAUCAAAUACCUUUCGCAGGCCCUUCCGAAAGUCCGAUUGAGCUCAAAUUUGACAGGAAUGCUCGUUUUUACUUAACAAGUCCACUGAAAUUUUAACAUUUCAGUUUCGACCCCGUUUGGUUACUGCGAACUGUCCCGAACUGUAAUCUUCAUCAGAUAACUUUCGGAUGCUAUUUCUCUCUCUACAGGUGUCAGAAUAAUGUGAAACUUGAAAUCUGGCCUCAUACCAAUGUUCCUGACAUCUCCGCCAAUUUUCAUAAUUUUCUGACACUGUGCAUUUUCUACUAAUUUCUCAGUCCCGUUCUUUACAGAAAAUUCCAGUUCUUCUGUUUUCGCUCCGAUUUCGGCACGAGUCAUUCCAGACUAACUUGGGUACUCCAUAAAUUAUCUCCGAGCCUCGCUUUAACUCUUUUAAUCAAAGUUAGCGUCAGAAUUCCGAAAAUUCUAUUUACAUUUCGUUUCGCGCCCAAUUUGCGCCGAAACACUUAUUUAUCAUCGGAAUUCAUUCUCACGCGUCCAAAAUCACUCGGGGAAGACGUCCAACUAGCUCAAUCCUCACUUUGAUCCAAUAGAUCAAAGUUGACAUUGCAGCUUCAGGAUGCCAUAUAUUACACGCCCAAUCCUGCACAGGCGAGCAUGUGUCACAAUGGCUAUCUCCGGAGUGCCGGCUUGUGGGGAGUGACUCUCACAAGCAUAUGCGAAUGAGUACAAUGGCAAGCCAGCGUGUAAGUCCGUCACAAAUCCAAUGUCAUCAUGUCUAAAACAUGGAAUACAGUCAAUGUCUCAAUGACCUAUCACUAAGUCAUCAUGUUGUAGUUUAACCGUUUACUAGGUUGAGUGCCCCUUUAUGGCACUUUUGUCCACUAUGUCCCAACAUGAGUUUUGUGUCCAAGAGCACAUAAUUCUAGUCAUUUACAUUAUAUGAAAUAUGAGCCCAAGUCUUAAGAUAGAAUGCUACCCACAUGCAUGUCUACAGUGCACAAGUCUCUCUACUACAUAGAGGCGAUUUUUCAAGAUGCAUAACAUAAAGAUUUUAAGCAUUCUAAAAUUCACAUAAAUGCUAUCUAGCAUGAAUAUGAAUAUGCAUGAAUUGCUAUUUUACGACAACCAAAAAUAACAUAGGAGGAUUUUCUCCCAUAUUCAAUGAAGUCAAACCCGCCGAAACUCUUAACCGCCCUUCAUUUGUGCCGACAAAGGUGCUCGCUACUCUCCUAGCACCCUAAAGGUAAUGAAAAGAGAGAUACACGAACGUUACGAACACUAGCGAGCUCAAACAUUAACUAUCUCAAGAAAAAAGCUGAAAACGCACCUAUAAAGAAGAAACCCUCUCUUAAUCUCAAAAUGGGAGUUAGAGUCCUUCUAAUCCAACCUAUACAAAGGUUCUAAACCAAUCAAUUAGGAUCCAAAAGCCUCUAAUCAAAAUUCCCCAUUUUAAACCCUAAGUCUUCAUUUAUAGGGUUACUACUCAAAAACCAUGAAAAUCAUGAUCAAAAGAGGAGUAAGCAACUAACCUCUCUAGAAGCUCCAAAUUAGGCUCAAGAUCCACUAAAGUUGAGAUCCUUCCCUCAAGCAAACUCCAAUUCCUUCUCCAAUGCUUCUCCAAUGGUGAAGAGAUCACCAAAAGCCAAAAGAAGCAAAAGAGGAGAUCAAUCCUCAAAAAAAAUCCCAACAAAAGAGAGGGAAAUACUAAGGAAAAUGGAGAGGGGACUCACCUCUCCUCUUCUCUGUUGCAGCACAAAAACCUCAGCCAAGAGGUGUAGGGGAUUAUAAGGUAUUGCAACAAUUACAAAGAGAUCCUUCAAAAACUGUCAGGCUGCAGUUUGCAUCGUGUACCGGUACACGGUAAAGUGUACCGGUACAAACCCGCAGUACGCGCAAACUAGAGGCUCGGGUUGGCAGAAAAUCCCAUCUGUACCGGUACACUUCCGAUGUUGUACCGGUACAGCCAACUGUUCCGGUACAACCUUGAUGGUGCAGAGUGCAAUCCGAGAGCAGCCUAAGUUCUCCUCUUUGGGGACCUUAGCCCUAAGUUAAAAACCACAACUCUUGGGAUGCGAGUCAUAGGUCGGAAUACUGUCAACGACAUUUAAAAGUGUCGUUAAAAGUGUCGGUAAUUUAGCCAGCAACACUUUUUUUUACCUGUACUGACAUUUAAAAGUGUCGCUGUAGACCAUUUUUGUUGUAGUGCCAGAAAAUCUGGAAAAACUCAGAACACAGAUCAAACACUGGAACCCCGCAAUUUGCAAAGAUCCAGUGUGUUACAUUCACCCCUCCUAAAAAGGAGUUUCGUCCGCGAAACUCAGAAGCAACGCACCUCAAGGCUCCAUCCGAAAAGAUGGGGAUAAUGCUCCUGCAAAGUGCUCUCUAGCUCCCACGUGGCCUCCCACUCCUCGUGGUUGCUCCAAAGAACCUUCACAUACAGAAUAUCCCGAUUCCGCAGCUUUUUCACAUCGCGAACCAAAAUCCUCACGGGUUGCUCCUUAAAGCUCAAGUCCUCUCUCAGCUCUACUGGUAUAACAUCCAAAACAUGAGCUGGAUCGUAAACAUACUUCCGGAGGACCGAUACAUGAAAGACAGUGUGUACACCCGAUAGGUUCGGUGGUAGAGUAAGUCGAUAUGCUACCGGAUCUACACGCUCCAAAAUCUCGUAGGAUCCAAUAAACCGGGGCUCAACUUUCCCCGAAUUCUAAAUCUUCUAAUUCCUCUAGUCGGCGAGAUCUUCAAGAAAACAUGGACUCCAACUUGGAACUCCAAGUCUCGCCGUUGUCGAUCGGCGUAGCUCCUCUUUCUAUUCUGAGCCGUCAACAAUCGCUCUUGAGCAAUCCGAACCUUGUCUUCAGCUUCCUAGAGCACAUUUAGGCAUAGGGCCAAUCUCUGGUCAACUUCACUCCAAUGAAGUGGCGAUCUGCACUUCCAUCCAUACAGUGCUUCGAAGGGCGCCAUCUUGAUUCUUGCUUGAUAACUAUUGUUAUAAGCAAACUCCACCAUCGGUAGAUGCUGCGACCAUCCUCCCUGGAAGUCUAUCACACAUGCCCGGAGCAUAUCCUCUAAGGUCUGUAUAGUGCGCUCUGACUACCCGUCACUCUAAGGGUAAAAGCUGGACUGAAAUUCAAGCGCGUACCCAAGGUAUCCUGUAGGCUCCUCCAAAAGUGAGAUACAAACUGGGGGUCUCGACCUGAUACUAUAGAAGUAAGUACCCCGUGCAAUCGCACAAUCUCAUUAAGAUAUACCUGUGCGAGUCUCUCACCAGUCCAAGUCGUAUGAAUAGGUAUGAAAUGCGCCGAUUUUGUCAACCUAUCCACGAUCACCUAUAUAACAUCAUGCCCGGCCUAAGAGUGAAGCAAUUCCAUCACGAAGUCUAUGGUGAUCUUCUCCCACUUCCACACGGGAAUAGGCAAACUCUGAAGUUUUUCCGCGGGUAAUCGGUGCUCAGCCUUUACUUGUUGGCAAGUUAAACAUCGAGCCACAAACUCGCCAACAUCCUUUUUCAUUUCGGGCCACCAAUAAAGUAGCUUCAAAUCCUUGUACAUCUUGGUGCCUCCCGGAUGUAUAGCAUAGGGUGUCUGGUGUGCUUCUUGAAGGAUGUCCUCUUUAAUUCCCACAUCCACCGGUACAUAAAACCGUCCACAAAAGCGCAUCACUCCUUGGUCAUCCACAAGGAAAUCACCGGUGCAACCAUCAACCAUUUUAUCCCGAAUCUUUUGCAACUCCACAUCGUGAACUUGCUUUUCUUUAAUUCUAUCCAAUAGUGUAGGUUGCACUACCAAGGCCAUUAACCUCAAGGGUGUAUCAGGAGCCAACACCUCUAACUCCAACCGCUUCAUCUGCUCGACCAACGGCGGUUGAGUAACAAUGAGCAUAGCUAAGUUUUCCGUCGAUUUCCGACUUAGCGCAUCCGCCAUCACGUUAGCCUUGCCCGGGUGGUAAAGUAUCGUCAAAUCAUAAUCCUUGAGUAGCUCCAACCAUCUGCGCUGCCUCAAGUUCAGCUCCUUCUGAGUGAAUAGAUACUUUAAUCUCUUGUGAUCCGUAUACACUUCACACUGCUCGCCAUAAAGAUUGUGGCACUAUAGCUUCAAUGCAAAGACUACAGCCGCCAAAUCCAAAUCGUGAGUAGAAUAGUUUCUCUCAUAUUUCUUCAAUUGGCGAGAAGCAUACGCGAUCACCUUGCCAUCCUGCAUCAAAACACAACCCAAUCCAUUAAAAGAAGCAUCACUAUAAACUCCGUACCCUGCUCGAGUAACCGGCAGGGUUAGGAUCGGGGCGGUCGUCAAUCGAGUCUUCAACUCUUGAAAGCUUCUCUCACACGCAUCAUUCCAAAUGAAUUUGGUGCCUUUAUGCGUAAGCCUCGUGAGGGGAGUAGAUAACUUUGCAAAUCCCUCAAUAAACCUCCGGUAGUAACUUGCGAAACCAAGGAAACUCUGGAUCUCCGUAACACUCGUCGGUCUAGGCCAAUCCUUGAUUGCUUCAAUCUUCCUAGGAUCCACGGCUAUACCCGAUUCCGAAAUCAAAUGUCCAAGGAAUGCCACUUCUCGAAGCCAAAAUUCACACUUUUUCAACUCGGCAUAGAGUUUCCGUUCCCGAAGUACUUGAAGUACAAGCCUUAAAUGUUCCUCAUGAUCUGCCUCACUACGGGAAUAAACCAAGAUAUCGUCGAUAAACACCACGACGAACCUGUCUAGAUAAGGCUUAAAAACACGGUUCAUUAGAUCCAUAAAAACUGCCGGGACAUUAGUAAGCCCGAACGGUAUAAUAGUGAACUCAUAGUGUCCAUACUGUGUUCUAAAAGCCAUCUUCGAUAUAUCCUCGGGCUUGAUCUUUAAUUGGUAGUAUUUCGACUGCAAGUUGAUCUUGGAAUACACACUUGAUCCCUGAAGCUGAUCAAACAGGUUGUCGAAUCCUUGGCAACGGAUACUUUUUCUUGAUCGUGACUUUAUUAAGUUCACGAUAAUCCAUACAUAGGCGAAGUGAUCCAUCCUUCUUCUUAACGAAUAAAACUGGUGCUCCCUAAGACGAGAAGCUCAGUCGAAUGAAACCUUUAUCCAAAAGAUCCUGCAGCUGUGCCCUCAGCUUUUUCAACUCUGCAGGUGCCAUCCUAUAGGGCGCCUUUGAGAUUGGAGUAGUCCCAGGGACAAGAUCUACUAUAAACUCGAUCUCCCAAUCAGGUGGCAUACCUGGUAGCUCAGCUGGAAACACAUCACAAAACUCCCGCACCACCGGGAUAUCCUCAAUCCUAGGGGCAUCAUUCUCUCCCCUCAGCACAAUACUAGCCAAAUAGGCUACGCAACCUCUGCUGAUCAGCUGCCUAGCUCGAGACGAGCUAAUCGUCAUCGCAAACAGUGAACUUCGGCAUCCUCUAAAUACCACUUCAGUCUGCCCCGGUUCUCUAAAAGUAACCGUUCGAUCCUUACAAUCGAUAGUGGCAAAAUACUUCGUCAACCAAUCCAUACCCAGAACCACAUCAAACUCCCCCAGCUUGCGAAAAGCUAGCAGGUCCACGGGCAUAAUCCAAUCCCCUACCCGAACAAGGCAACUGGGGCAAAACUCUCGAAUAUACAAGAUGUGAUCUGGUACAACAACAUGUCCCAAAUGCAACAAAGGAACCAACUAGAUGCCAUGCAAUUCGGCGAACAGCCGAUCAGUGAAUGAAUGUGAUGCACCAGUAUCAAAUAAUGCACGAACUCGAAUGCCAUUUAAUAAAAUGAUACCUGCUACCACAUCCUUGGCUGCUGCCACCUCCUCGGUCUGAGCAGCAUACAAACGCCCACUCGGGGCCUAGCGUGACCCCUCACUCUGGCGCAGGACGGGUGGCCGCCGAGGCUGGUACUGUGCCGACGGAGUCCCCUGACUGGCAGCUGGUAGAGCCGGUGCCGAUGCAGUCGAUGGUGCUGGUGACGAUCUCCUCGGGCACUCAGUCCGGAAGUGGCCCUCCUAGCCACACAGGAAACACCGACCGCCCCGCUACGGACACUGUGGUGGAAUAUGGGGACUACCACAAAUCACGCACUGGGAGGUCGGCGACGAUCAGAACCUCCUCGCUGCGCCGACGAGCCGCGACCACGCUGCUGGCUUCUAAGGUACUUCGGCGGCCUCCUAAAGUGCGUCUGACUGGCACACUCAGCCGUAGGCCUCUUGCCCUUACCCUUGUCGAAUCCUUCUCUCCGCUCCUGAACAUCCGCCGCACCGCUCUCCAUGAUGAGCACGCGGUUCACCACCUUCCGGUAGGUUUGGAGGUUAGAGGAUUGCACGAACCGGAAGAUCGACGGUCGCAGUCCCCGCUCAAAGAUGCGUGCCUUGUCCUCGUCGUCCCGUACGACGAAAGGCACGCAAUGUAGGAGCCAAGAAAACUCCCUCUCAAACUCGGCUACGGUCUAGUCUCCUUGGCGCAAGUUGCGCAAAUCCUGCUCCAUCUUCCGCUUGACACUAUCGGGGAAGUAAUGCGCCAAAAGAAGCUCCUUGAACUUCUUCCAGGUAAUCGCCGAAAGGUCAGUAUUGGGGUUGUCUUGGAUAUACAACCACCAACGAUAGGCCUCGCCGUCUAGGUGGUGAGUAGCGAGCCAAACUCGAUCCCUCUCCUCCACGAAGGUGUCGCGGAAGAGCUUCUCCAUAUGCAUCAACCACUUCUCCACGAUCCAGUAGUCGACUUUCUCGCCGUCGAAGACUCGGGGACUGCACCUCCUGAACUCAUUGAAACGAUCCAUGAGUCGGUCCCGCUCUGCUCCCUGAACUAAUAUGGAAAAAACUGCCCCUGCUAGAGGCAUCUGAGCUGGUGGUGCCGCGACUACCUCCUCCCGAGGCGCAUCCGCAGGUGCCGUCUGCGAAGUGUCGAGUGCAGGGGACGACACUCUGGGUGCAACCACCUCCACCGGCACGGGUGGUGUAGGAACCUGAGCCUCCCUGGAAACUGCCUGCUGCAGAAGGAGGUCCUCGAGCCACUUCAUCCGCGCCUCCUGCCAGCGUGCCGCAUCUAUCUGCUACUGAGCCGCCGCGGUCUGCUGUGCAACCAAGUUGGUGGGGACCGCAAGCUAGCUCCUCAACUCACGGACCUCGCUGGAUCCGGAGGUAGUGGAGGUCUUCACCUCCUCAAGAUUUGCCGCAUUGUCCGCUCCAACAGACUCAGAGCGAGUAAUCGGCAUCGUCACUACAACAUUAUAAAAGCGCAAGUUAGCAAAAACCAACGCUAUUGCAACCCCGUUCGACAGAUAAUACCCAAAUCAUGCGAAAGUAAUGAAAUGUCCUCUACUACUAACUCCCGAUGUUACAUUGUCGGCCGCCAACGUAACCCUCCGUGGAGUUAGAAGCUAUACACUUCGAUUAAACUCCAACAUUUUUAGAGUUAUUAUAAAACCCAAUCUUAAUACUUUCACUUACAUGUCAAAUAGACUUCGUAUCUCACGAGCUUCUUUCCUAUUGUCCAACCGGCCUAAGGUUUGCUAGGUGCACUAAGACUCAACCCUAGGCUCUGAUGCCAACUUAAUCUGUCACGCCCCGGGACCUAGCGGAAGUCCGCCCGGCGCGUGUCCAGACCCGCCAUACGUCUGCAACAUAUAAGGCGUCUGUAACAAAAUGAUAAAUAAAGCAAUAAUAUAUAAAGAUCUAGAGACAUCAGAGCAUACAACAUCUAGAUUCUAGGAUAAGAAGGUAAACAAGAGCUAAAAUCCACUAAGAAAGAACCAUAAAGUGAUACAAUAGGAACCCAAAAUACAAGUGCUAAAAGUAUAACAAUGGUGUUCUCUAUACAUGGUAGCAAACUCUCCCUCAGAACAAAAUACAAAAAGAGGGAACCACCUAAAGCAAAAGGCGAACUCCACGCUAUCUAGUUAGCGAUCCCCUUGCCACGGUCCUGUGCCUCCACCGGUGUAGAGGGCUCUGAAAGAAAACCAUAAAAUAGGGGCAUGAGAACUAUUAGAUAAUAGUUCCCAGUGGGUAAUUACUGACUUCAGUGAAAAGCACCACUAGGCCCAAAACCAAAGGAUGUAAGUGAAAAUAUAUAAACGAUAUGAACAACAAGUAUUUAAACAUGAAUAACUUGCUAAACCUUUAAGUCUAUACUUAGCAUGAAUUUACAUUUUGGUUCGACUUGUUCCAAGUCACAUAGGACCUACCCGUGGGUAGUCCGGCUUGCGCCGUGCCUAAUGGCCCCGUGGUGGUCAACAUUCCCACUCUAGGAAUGAGCCUCCCCCACGGCAUCCCAUUUCUGCGCCCAAUCCCGCACGGGCGAGCAUGUGUCGCAAUGACUAUCUCCAGAGUGCCGGCUUGUGAGGAGCGACCCUCACAAGCAUGUGCGAAUGAGUACAAUGGCAAGCAAGCGUGUAAGUCCGUCACAAAUCCAAUGUCAUCAUGUCUAAAAUAUAGAAUACAGUCGAUGUCUCAAUGACCUAUCACUAAGUCAUCAUAUUGCAGUUUAGCCAUUUACUAGGUUAAGUGCCCUUAUAUGCAAAGCUGAGGAAGUGCGACUUUUGGCUUCGAGAGGUUGCAUUUCUAAGGCAUGUUAUUUCUGAGGGUGGUGUUUCUGUUGACCCGAGGAAAGUGGAGGCGAUUAAAGAUUGGCCACGCCCGACUAAUGUCACGGAGGUCCGAAGCUUCGUGGGCCUGGCAGGCUAUUAUAGACGGUUCGUGGAGGGCUUCUCGAAGAUAGUUAUUCCUCUUACCCGUCUAACUCAGAAGGGCACCAAGUUUGUUUGGAGAGAGGAAUGCGACCGGAGUUUCAAUGAGUUGAAGGAGAAAUUGACUUCGACUCCGGUGCUUACUUUACCAGUGCCAGGUAAGGACUUUGUGGUUUACAGUGACGCGUCUUAUUCAGGAUUAGGGUGUGUUCUGAUGCAAGAUGGAAAAGUGAUCGCAUAUGCGUCCCGUCAAUUGAAGAGCUACGAGAAGAACUACCAUGUCCACGACUUGGAGUUAGCCGCGGUGGUAUUUGCUCUCAAGUUGUUGAGGCAUUACUUGUACGGCGUACGCUGCAAAGUGUAUACUGACCACAAGAGUCUGAAGUAUUUGUUCACACAGAAGGAGCUGAACAUGCGACAACGGCGGUUGUUGGAGCUGCUAAAGGAUUAUAAUCUUGAUAUUCUCUACCACCCCGGGAAGGCAAAUGUAGUCGCUGAUGCACUCAGUUGAAAGUCGGCGGAGAACCCCACGAUGCGGGUCACGAAUCAGGAGCCCCUACGGAAAGAAACGGGACGGAUUGGUCUCGAGGUUGUAGCUCCGGAGAUUCCGGCUAUGUUGUCAACUCUCGUUGUCCAACCUGAAAGUUUUGAGGAGCCCAAGGAUCUAUCUAGAUUGUAUCUAUCACCUAGAGGGGGGUGAAUAGGUGAACGACCAAAAACCACAAAUCUCGAUGCAAUAAAAAUAAAUACGGAAAAUAAAAAGCACACCGAGAUUUACGUGGGAAAACUCCAACUUGGAGAAAAACCCACGGGACCAACACGCGAAAAAAUAAUUCACUAAGAGAAAAGAUUACAAGGUGAUUACCGACUCCACGGACUCAACCUCUCUUAACCUCCUAUGAAUCUUCGCGCUACCCUCCGGGUUGUCCACGCCCUCACG